rnacentral:rRNA from 1 species
CGUGUAGGCGGAUAGGUAAGUCAGAUGUGAAAUUUCGGGGCUCAACCUCGAAGCUGCAUUUGAAACUGCCAAUCUAGAGGGUUGACGGAGAAAACGGAAUUCCACGUGUAGCGGUGAAAUGCGUAGAUAUGUGGAAGAACACCAGUGGCGAAAGCGGUUUUCUAGUUAAUACCUGACGCUGAGGCGCGAGAGCAAAGGGGGAGCAAAACA